AUGAACGCUGGCGGCGUGCCUAAUACAUGCAAGUCGAGCGAACAGAUAAGGAGCUUGCUCCUUUGACGUUAGCGGCGGACGGGUGUGUAACACGUGGGUAACCUACCUAUAAGACUGGGAUAACUUCGGGAAACCGGAGCUAAUACCGGAUAACAUUUGGAACCGCAUGGUUCUAAAGUGAAAGAUGGUUUUGCUAUCACUUAUAGAUGGACCCGCGCCGUAUUAGCUAGUUGGUAAGGUAACGGCUUACCAAGGCGACGAUACGUAGCCGACCUGAGAGGGUGAUCGGCCACACUGGAACUGAGACACGGUCCAGACUCCUACGGGAGGCAGCAGUAGGGAAUCUUCCGCAAUGGGCGAAAGCCUGACGGAGCAACGCCGCGUGAGUGAUGAAGGGUUUCGGCUCGUAAAACUCUGUUAUUAGGGAAGAACAAAUGUGUAAGUAACUGUGCACGUCUUGACGGUACCUAAUCAGAAAGCCACGGCUAACUACGUG
rnacentral:rRNA from 1 species